rnacentral:rRNA from 1 species
GAUGAACGCUAGCGGCAGGCUUAAUACAUGCAAGUCGAGGGGCAGCAUGAUUGUAGCAAUACAAUUGAUGGCGACCGGCAAACGGGUGCGGAACACGUACACAAACUUCCAAUAAGUGGGGAAUAGCACAGAGAAAUUUGGAUUAAUACCCCGUAACAUAACGAUGUGGCAUCACAUUGUUAUUAUAGAUUUUUCGCUUAUUGCUGGGUGUGCGGCUGAUUAGAUAGUUGGCGGGGUAACGGCCUACCAAGUCUACGAACCGUAGCUGAUGUGAGAGCAUGAUCAGCCACACGGGCACUGAGACACGGACCCGACGCCUGCGGGAGGCAGCAGUAAGGAAUAUUGGACAAGGGACGCAAAUCUGAUCCAGCCAUGCCGCGUGAAGUAUAAAGGUCCUCUGGAUUGUAAACUUCUUUUAUAAGGGACGAAAAAAGGCUUUUCGAAGUCGUCUGACGGUACCUUAUGAAUAAGCACCGGCUAACUCCGUGCCAGCCGCCGCCGUAAUAC